CAGCAGCCGCGGUAAUACGUAGGGGGCGAGCGUUGUCCGGAAUUAUUGGGCGUAAAGAGCUCGUAGGCGGUUAUGGAAGUCGGGUGUGAAAUACCGGGGCUCAACUCCGGGGCGCCAUUCGAUACUCCAUUGACUAGAGUCCGGUAGGGGAAGGUGGAAUUCCUGGUGUAGCGGUGAAAUGCACAGAUAUCAGGAGGAACACCGGUGGCGAAGGCGGCCUUCUGGGCCGGUACUGACGCUGAGGAGCGAAAGCUAGGGGAGCGAACAGGAUUAGAUACCCUGGUAGUCCUAGCCGUAAACGAUGGGCACUAGGUGUGGGGGGCUAUCCACUCCCUCCGUGCCGAAGCUAACGCAUUAAGUGCCCCGCCUGGGGAGUACGGCCGCAAGGCUAAAACUCAAAGGAAUUGACGG
rnacentral:rRNA from 1 species